AUGAAGAUCCUCUCCAGCAGCAAGAAGUUUUGGAAAGAUUCAGUUCUGCUGAGAAACCGCAAAAAACAGUCCAACUUGCGGUUCCGCUGUGUUGUGGAUCCUGUGAAAGUAACUGUGCGAAUGAGCAAUCCGCAUGAGUCCAAGAUCUGCUGUGCUCAGGUUGGCCGGAAAAGUAAAGCCUACUACUCUGGUGAGUGGUCAAGCCAUCAUGAUACAGAUGACAAGAAAACCAGCUGGUACAGAAACCAACAACAACACCAGAAUAGCCCGUGCAGCUCCCACCUUUCUGACACCGAAACGCCCCAACCAGCAUGUCCUGCUGGAUCCGUUGCCUCCUGGGUGCGCUUCAGCUUCAGUUCUCCAGAGCGUGCGGCAGGAAGCAGCUCAGCCCACUAUGGCAUCCAUGCCCGUAACCACCAAAGGGCCACUGGUGAUAAACAGCUCAGCUCAGAGAUUGCGGGAGAAGGUCUCAAAGGGCAGAGAUUCCCACCACAUGCUGUUGGCUUGAAUACAGAAGAACCUGCUCCCUGCCGUUCGGAACACCCCCACGAGCGCUUUAACCACCUACCCAGUGUGACCAAUUUCAUCCCAAGUCCAAUUUUACCCGGCCCAAGACGAGUGGUAUACUCUGCUCUGGCUUCAGAUACAAUAUCCAGAACUCAUCUCAACAGUGAGGAGUAUGCCUACCCACAUUCUCCAAGAGGGCCACAGCACCGUCUCGGGUUAGAGUGGCACCAGCAUUUGCCAGUGGCCCAGCAAGCUGAGGUGUACGUUUACCUGAUCAGCCCACCUACUCCUAGCCCAGAGCACAACACUGAGCAGCCCAACCAUCCCUUCUCAAUACCUCGGACCACCUCCGGGAAAGAAACGUUAGCCCACCGGUUCUCUCUCAGCCAGAGCAGGGGCAGUUCCAGCCAAAACCAUGCCACUCAGGGGACCAGUGACCCCCACAAGCAACGCAAGAGCAUCUGGGAGAGGAAACAUCAGAGAAGGUCCCUGCAGAAUUCAGAGUAUGAAAAGCUGGCAGCAGGCCACGGGAGUACCAAUGUUGACCAUCAAGAGCCAUUCUCCCAUAAUCCAUCUCUCUUGGCAGAUAGAGGGAGGGGUGGGCUUGAUGCUGCACCAACUAUCAUUGCUAGCUAA
rnacentral:lncRNA from 1 species